UCCGGGUUUCGCCCGGCAGUCUCCCUAGAAUAUUCAACUAAGGACACCGUAUCUCUACGGCUUUUCCUGCAUAGUUCAACCCAGGUAAGGUUCUUCGCGUUGCAUCGAACUAAGCCACAUGCUCCGCCGCUUGUGCGGGCCCCCGUCAAUUCCUUUGAGUUUUAGCCUUGCGGCCGUACUCCCCAGGCGGGGCGCUUAAUGCGUUAGCUGCGGCACGGAGGCCGUGGAAGGACCCCCACACCUAGCGCCCAACGUUUACGGCGUGGACUAC
rnacentral:misc_RNA from 1 species